ACCUUUAGCCAAGUGGUAAGUGAUUGUUGAUUAGUGAAAAAACUUAGAAGCACAGAAUUGCGAAGAAGAAACAGAUACAAGGGAAGAGGAAAAGCAACACCAAUGGUGAGAAAUGGUUUGAUGCAGAGAUGGCUUACGUCAGAUGUAGGUGAAUAAUGGCAUUAAGGGGGAUUUUCCUAGCAACACUUCCAACCUAUAUGUGCAAGUUUUAAAUGUGAAUCUGUGGAUGUGAUAUUGACGAAGUUGAGGUCUGUAAUUGACAUUUGUGUAAUGAUUAAACUUGAAUUAAUUCUUAAUAUUGAUGCUA